rnacentral:rRNA from 1 species
UACGGAGGAUGCGAGCGUUAUCCGGAUUUAUUGGGUUUAAAGGGUGCGUAGGCGGAUCGUUAAGUCAGUGGUCAAAUUGAGGGGCUCAACCCCUUCCCGCCAUUGAAACUGGCGAUCUUGAGUGGAAGAGAAGUAUGCGGAAUGCGUGGUGUAGCGGUGAAAUGCAUAGAUAUCACGCAGAACCCCGAUUGCGAAGGCAGCAUGCCGGCUUCCUACUGACGCUGAAGCGCGAAAGCGUGGGGAUCGAACAGG